rnacentral:rRNA from 1 species
AGUGAACGCUGGCGGUAGGCCUAACACAUGCAAGUCGAACGGCAGCACAGUAAGAGUUUGCUCUUAUGGGUGGCGAGUGGCGGACGGGUGAGGAAUACAUCGGAAUCUACUUUUUCGUGGGGGAUAACGUAGCGAAACUUACGCUAAUACCGCAUAUGACCUACGGGUGAAAGCAGGGGAUCUUCGGACCUUGCGCGAUUGAAUGCGCCGAUGUCGGAUUAGCUAGUUGGGGGGGUAAAGGCCCACCAAGGCGACGAUCCGUAGCUGGUCUGAGAGGAGGAUCAGCCACACUGGAACUGAGACACGGUCCAGACUCCUACGGGAGGCAGCAGUGGGGAAUAUUGGACAAUGGGCGCAAGCCUGAUCCAGCCAUACCGCGUGGGUGAAGAAGGCCUUCGGGUUGUAAAGCCCUUUUGUUGGGAAAGAAAAGCAGCAGGUUAAUACCCCGCUGUUCUGACGGUACCCAAAGAAUAAGCACCGGCUAACUUCGUG